UUUCAAAUGAAAUAAUUCAGUUGGCGACCAGUGAAACACAGAUCACGAUGUGCUUUCAUCAAGGAAAUAUUUUUCCUGACGGAAUUUAUGCAAUCUUCUGGGAGAAAGACACGGGAGCAGGAGACUCAUGUGGCAUCCUGAAUUAUGAAGCUUCCUUGGAAAACAGGGGGGGAAACAUCAUUACAGAGGAGGCUAAAAUUUGCUGCGAAACAGGCACAGACCUCUCAAUGCCCAACCAUGCCCUGAGGUGCUACACUGAAGUGUUGGAUACAAAACCCAGAAAAUCAACAGCCUUCAUUGCUGAUAAUCCUCAAUAUUUGGUCAGUGAAAAGAGCAACAUUGGCAUCAUCACCACAGCAAUAAUUGUGCUUUGUGCAGCAGCUCUGGCAAUGUAUUGUGUGCUACGGAGAAGAAAUGGACCUGUCAUAGUGCUUCAUCAGACUUCAUAAUGGUGAAUUACCUUGUGAAGGUGCCUCCCUGGCAACUCUAAAGGAAGCCAAUGGGAACAAGCUGAGAUGUUUGAAACAUCUACAGUUAGACAAAACACAAGGAUGUCUGAGAAAAAUGUAUGAGUGUUUGCAAAACUCAGUAAAGAUUACACUAGUCUCACUGCAGUUC
rnacentral:lncRNA from 1 species